UAGUAUUAGUUAUGUUCUUGAAAAUUAAAAAAGUUGGCGGUAUUUUAGUCUAUUUAGAGGAACCUGUCCUAUAAUCGAUAAUCCACGAUUUGAUUUACUUAUUGUUUAAGUUUGCAUAUCGCCGUAGUUUGAAUAUUUUUAAAGAAUUAAUAAUGUUCAAUAAGUUUAUAAGAAAAGAAUUCAGGUCAAGAUGUAGCAUAUAAAUAAGAAGAGAUGGGUUACAAUAAAUUUAUUUAUAAUGAAUUAAUAGAUUUAAUUUUAUAAUGAAGGUGGAUUUAAAGGUAAU
rnacentral:rRNA from 1 species